rnacentral:tRNA from 1 species
GCCUUCGUAGCUCAGUCGGUAGGUCGUCAGACUUUUAAUCUGAGGGUCGUGGGUUGGAGUCGCACAGAGGGCG